UACCAGCUCCCUGAGUGGUAAGGACGAUUAUUUGGCCUAAAGCGUCCGUAGCCGGCUUAUCAAGUCUCUUGUUAAACCCAAUGAUUCAAUCAUUGAUCUGCAAGAGAUACUGUUAUGCUAGAGGACGGGAGAGGUCGACGGUAGUCCAGGGGUAGGGGUGAAAUCCUAUAAUCCUUGGAGGACCACCAGUGGCGAAGGCGGUCGACUAGAACGUGCCUGACGGUGAGGGACGAAAGCUGGGGGAGCGAACCGGAUUAGAUACCCGGGUAGUCCCAGCUGUAAACGAUGCGGGCUAGGUGUUGGGGUAGCUACGAGCUACUCCAGUGCCGCAGAGAAGUUGUUAAGCCCGCCGCCUGGGGAGUACGGCCGCAAGGCUGAAACUUAAAGGAAUUGGCGGGGAGCACCACAAGGCGUGAAGCUUGCGGUUC
rnacentral:rRNA from 1 species